CUUGCACACAGUUAGAGCUCAGGGUUGAGGUCAGUUCCUGGCCUAUGAACUUCUGAGUGUAGGAAGUGUGCUACAUUAACAUGGGCAGGAUUUUUCGCUAACGCCAUAAGGACCCUUGUGGUCUGAUGAGUGGAGUUUGAUAGUAAUUCUUGCCACAUCU